CACAACGAAGCUGAUAUCUUAGCAUUUAACUGUUAAUUAAAAGGGAGCCCCAAAGGCCGAUGUGA
rnacentral:tRNA from 1 species